rnacentral:rRNA from 1 species
GAUGAACGCUGACAGAAUGCUUAACACAUGCAAGUCUUUGGCGAAGCUGUGCUUGCACAGCCUAGCCAAGGCGGACGGGUGAGUAACGCGUAAGGAACUUGCCCUGCAGUCAGGGAUAACAGACGGAAACGACUGAUAAGACCUGGUAAAGUCAGGCGGACUCAUGUCCAGCCUGAUGAAAAGUGAUGCUGCAGGAGAGCCUUGCGUCCUAUUAGCUUGUUGGUGGGGUAACGGCCCACCAAGGCGAUGAUAGGUAGCCGGCCUGAGAGGGUGGACGGCCACAAGGGGACUGAGAUACGGCCCUUACUCCUACGGGAGGCAGCAGUGGGGAAUAUUGGACAAUGGGGGCAACCCUGAUCCAGCAAUUCUGUGUGCACGAUGAAGGUUUUCGGAGUGUAAAGUGCUUUCAGCAGGGAAGAAAAAAAUGUCGGUACCUGCAGAAGAAGCGACGGCUAAAUACGUG